rnacentral:rRNA from 1 species
AGGUUAAGUUAGAAAGGGCGCACGGUGGAUGCCUUGGCACUAGGAGCCGAUGAAGGACGGGACUAACACCGAUAUGCUUCGGGGAGCUGUAAGUAAGCUUUGAUCCGGAGAUUUCCGAAUGGGGAAACCCACUGUUCGUAAUGGAACAGUAUCUUUACCUGAAUCCAUAGGGUAUUGAA